CUCAGUAACACGUGGUUAACCUACCCUUAGGACGGGGACAACCCCGGGAAACUGGGGCUAAUUUCUGAUAGGUGAGGAGGCCUGGAAUGGUUCUUCGCCGAAAAGGCGUUGAAACCAUGCUUUUCAGCGUCGCCUAAGGAUGGGGCCGCGCCCGAUCAGGUUGUUGGUGAGGUAACGGCUCACCAAGCCUAUAACCGGUACGGGCCGUGAGAGCGGGAGCCCGGAGAUGGGCACUGAGACAAGGGCCCAGGCCCUACGGGGCGCAGCAGUCGCGAAAACUCCGCAAUGCGCGAAAGCGUGACGGGGCUACCCCGAGUGCCGUCUGCUGAGGAUGGCUUUUCCCCGGUGUAAUGAGCCGGGGGAAUAAGGAGAGGGCAAGACUGGUGUCAGCCGCCGCGGUAAUACCAGCUCUCCGAGUGGUAGGGACGAUUAUUGGGCUUAAAGCGUCCGUAGCCGGCUUAGCAAGUCUCCUGUUAAAUUCAGCGACUCAAUCGUUGAGCCGCGGGGGAUACUACUAGGCUAGGAGGCGGGAGAGGUCGACGGUAUUCUCGGGGGAGGGGUGAAAUCCUAUAAUCCCGGGAGGACCACCAGUGGCGAAGGCUGUCGGCUAGAACGCGCUCGACGGUGAGGGACGAAAGCUGGGGGAGCGAACCGGAUUAGAUACCCGGGUAGUCCCAGCUGUAAACGAUGCGGGCUAGGUGUUGAGGUGGCUACGAGCCACUUCAGUGCCGCAGGGAAGCCAUCAAGCCCGCCGCCUGGGGAGUACGGCCGCAAGGCUGAAACUUAAAGGAAUUGGCG
rnacentral:rRNA from 1 species